rnacentral:rRNA from 1 species
CACUCCUGCGGGAGGCAGCAGUGGGGAAUUUUGGACAAUGGGCGAAAGCCUGAUCCAGCAAUGCCGCGUGAGUGAAGAAGGCCUUCGGGUUGUAAAGCUCUUUUGUCAGGGAAGAAACGGUGAAAGCUAAUAUCUUUUGCUAAUGACGGUACCUGAAGAAUAAGCACCGGCUAACUACGUGCCAGCAGCCGCGGUAAUACGUAGGGUGCAAGCGUUAAUCGGAAUUACUGGGCGUAAAGCGUGCGCAGGCGGUUUUGUAAGUCUGAUGUGAAAUCCCCGGGCUCAACCUGGGAAUUGCAUUGGAGACUGCAAGGCUAGAAUCUGGCAGAGGGGGGUAGAAUUCCACGUGUAGCAGUGAAAUGCGUAGAUAUGUGGAGGAACACCGAUGGCGAAGGCAGCCCCCUGGGUCAAGAUUGACGCUCAUGCACGAAAGCGUGGGGAGCAAACAGGAUUAGAAACCCGAGUAGUCCCAUGAU